UCUAUUAGGUUAUAGAAGUUUUAUCUUCUAGUUGUGAAAUGAACUUUUAUCUUUGAGCUUGUUUGAAUUAAAAUUUAUCCAACAAACACAUUAGACAACUUGAACAAGUUUUUCUUUCUUUCUUUAAAUCAAUAAGAUUUAUCUUUAGAUCAACAGUAGUCUUUCUUGAGAUUAACAGUAGUCUUUCUUGAGAUCAACGGUAGUCUUUCUUGAGAUCAACAGUAGUUUUUCUUUGGAUCAACGGUAGUCUUUCUUUAGAUCUGAAGUAUCUAUCUUGAAAUUAAUAGUAUCUAGUGACAUUUUUGGUUACUUGAUGAGUAAGAGCUUCCUGGUCACCUAGUGCUUACUUAGAGACAGGUUGUCCCUGUUUUCGCUUUCCUCUUUUCGACUUCCUAUGGCUGACUUUGGUAAAUGUGUUUUGUCUUGUCUAAGGAUAUGUCCUGCGAAUCUCAUACAACGUUCGGUCACCACUUCACUUAGGAAAGGCUUUCUUAAUUGGUGACAUGAGUUGGUAUGUUAUUCCGAGGAUCUUUUUCAGCCAUUGCUGCUGAGCCAAGUGCAGCCUCUUUUUGACCUUUGUGGAUGACUUUCGUGUCUCGCAAGCAUAGGUGGAUCUAGGUCUCUAAACUUAUUGAUUUGUUUGCCCAGAUAGGCGUAGUUUUGAAAUGACAGUUUCUGAUUUCCCUGACAUACAUUGUGAUCUGCCAUCACUUGUCUGCUUAUACAGCCUGAUUCAUGUUUUUUUUGUCAUUACAUUGACGUUGUCUUGCAGAAAUGGGCACAAGACACAAACCUGUCUCACACCCGUCUUAAUGUUUAAGAACUCUGUUAUUCCAUCAUCUGCACUUACACGCAACAGCUAGAUGUCCAAGGAUCAGGACAAAUAGUCACGAGAUGACAUAUUUUCUUGCUAUUCUUAGAGUGAUGCUAUUUUUUAAAUCCACAAAACUGAUCAUCAUCUUUUGUUGGCAUUCCAGGCUUUGCUCGAAGAUGUUUCACAGGAAGCUAUUCUAUUCAAAGCUUGAUCUACAGGUAUCUCUGUGGAAGCCUGCUUGCUUGAUUUUAAUCUGUGACCUGUUGUAGUUGUCAUGCAAAUGAGCCUAACCUUUAAAAAAAAAGCUAAAUUAGCUAUUUUUUUAGUUUCUCUUUUGUAAGGGAUUGUUUUUGGAUAUUUUAUUCAUCACUAAAAAAAAUGUUUGUUUUCUAAACAUUAAGAAUGGACUUAGCAAUUUUAAUUUUGCUCUGAAUUUAAGAGAAAUUGUUUACUCUGUCACUUCAAUGUCUCUCAUUUAAUAAACAUUUUCUCAAUAGAUUUAUAUAUCCACAGUGUACAAUUUUAUUUAGCCUGGCCAAAUUUAUAUUAUCUCUAAAGUACCCAUUAUAGGAAAACUUUCUGAACAGUAUUAUUUAUAACAUAUAUCAUUGAAUCUUUAUUAAUAUGCAAACCAAAACAAACCCAGACACUUCAGUUUCUGAAAAUACUAUCAUAUUACACAUUAUCCACAUAUUUAUUGUCAAGAAAAAAAUGAAACAUGGAUUUGACUCUUUAUGUUAAUCACUCAGUUUGGCUGUGAUUUUAUAUUGUCUCCCUUUAUUUAUCUAUUUGUAUACAAUUAUUCCCCUUAACAACUGACUUUCAUUUGACUUGGGGCUCAUAUUUCACAUGUAUAUUAUUUAUCAAACGUGUUAUCCUGUAGUUUUAGUAGAUUUUUUCUUUACAACAGUUCAUAACUUGUAGAUUGAUUAUCAUGUUUGGAUAGAGAGAGAAAUUAUUCUUUUUAACAAGACAAAGGUAAUGUCUAAAUCCAAGUUGUAAAUUUAGUUUGCCAUUUAUUUUUAUGUAUGCAUAUAAAAGAAACUAUUUUGUCUCCUAGUUCAAGCUCAAACAAUAAGAAUUCCAUUCAUCAUCUUUGACUUGAACCUAACUAAAGGAAUUUGUAUUCAUUAAUUAGCAUAUGGUGUUAGCCACCGUUGUUUCAAUCUCACAGUGGAGGGUUACAAUUUAAAUUUUUAAUUGUAAAAUGUGAGUAGGAAGUCUAAAACAGGUGAUGAAUGCUGGAUGGAUGAGUGCUGGAUGUCCUUUUGAUGGAAACAAGUGACACUUCUUAUAACAUGACUGUAAGUUUGUGUCCAUGCAAUAGGUUCAGCUGGUACUUGCUCU